rnacentral:rRNA from 1 species
GACAGAGGUGCCAAGCGUUAGGCGGAAUCACUGGGCUUAAAGCGUGUGUAGGCGGGCGAUCAAGUACCUUGUGAAAUCCCGGGGCUCAACCUCGGAACUGCCUUUGAUACUGCGAGUCUUGAGUCCGAUAGAGGUGGGUGGAAUUCCUAGUGUAGAGGUGAAAUUCGUAGAUAUUAGGAAGAACACCAGUGGCGAAGGCGGCCCACUGGAUCGGUACUGACGCUGAGGUGCGAAAGCGUGGGGAGCAAACAGGG